UGGGACGUGGGCUGUUGGUCGCCCAGGCGGUCUCCAAAACCGCUGUUUCGGGAGUUCGAUUCUCCCCGUCCUGG
rnacentral:tRNA from 1 species